CCUUUUAGGGAUAAAUGUCAAUAUUUUAGAUAAGUCUCCUAUUUUUUUUAGGGACUAAUGUCAUUUUUUGACGUGUCUCCUAUGAAUAUUGUCU
rfam:Populus trichocarpa scaffold_11_contig_606, whole genome shotgun sequence.